rnacentral:misc_RNA from 1 species
AAGUCGUAACAAGGUUUCCGUAGGUGAACCUGCGGAAGGAUCAUUAACGAAUAACUAUGGUGUCUUGGUUGUAGCUGGCUCCUCGGAGCAAUGUGCACGCCCGCCAUUUUUAUCUUUCCACCUGUGCACCGACUGUAGGUCUGGAUGACUCUCGUACUCCGGUGCGGAUGCGAGGAUUGCUCUCGGGCUCUCCUCGAAUUUCCAGACUCUACGUCUUUUUUACACACCCCAAACGUAUGAUACAGAAUGUAGUCAAUGGGCUUGAUCGCCUAUAAAACACUAUACAACUUUCAGCAACGGAUCUCUUGGCUCUC